AUUGAACGCUAGCGGGAUGCUUUACACAUGCAAGUCGAACGAGUGGCGGACGGGUGAGUAAUAUAUCGGAACGUGCCCAGGAGCGGGGUAUAACUACUCGAAAGAGGGGAUAAUACCGCAACCUAUUGGAUGGGCCGAUAUCGGAUGAGCUAGUUGGGGGGGUAAAGGCUCACCAAGGCAACGAUCCGUAGCUGGUUUGAGAGGACGACCAGCCACACUGGGACUGAGACACGGCCCAGACUCCUACGGGAGGCAGCAGUGGGGAAUUUUGGACAAUGGGGGAAACCCUGAUCCAGCCAUCCCGCGUGUAUGAGAAGGCCUUCGGGUUGUAAAGUACUUUUGGCAGAGAAGCGGUAUCUGCAGAAUAAGCACCGGCUAACUACGUGCCAGCCGCCGCGGUAAUUC
rnacentral:rRNA from 1 species